rnacentral:rRNA from 1 species
UACAGAGGUCUCAAGCGUUGUUCGGAUUUAUUGGGCGUAAAGGGUGCGUAGGCGGUGUGGCAAGUCAAGUGUGAAAUCUCGGAGCUUAACUCUGAAACUGCACUUGUUACUGCCGUGCUAGAGGGUUGUAGAGGAGAUCGGAAUUCACGGUGUAGCAGUGAAAUGCGUAGAUAUCGUGAGGAAGACCAGUUGCGAAAGCGGGUCUCUGGGCAAUUCCUGACGCUGAGGCACGAAGGCUAGGGGAGCAAACGGG